CAAUAGCGUAUAUUAAAGUUGUUGCAGUUAAAAGCUCGUAGUUGGAUCUCGGGUCCAGGCUCGCGGUCCGCCUCGCGGCGGUUACUGCCCGUCCUGACCUACCUCCCGGUGUUCCCUUGGUGCUCUUGACUGAGUGUCUCGGGUGGCCGGAACGUUUACUUUGAAAAAUUAGAGUGUUCAAAGCAGGCAGCUCGCCUGAAUAAUGGUGCAUGGAAUAAUGGAAUAGGACCUCGGUUCUAUUUUGUCGGCCUUCGGAACUUGAGGUAAUGAUUAAGAGGGACGGACGGGGGCAUCCGUAUUACGGUGUUAGAGGUGAAAUUCUUGGAUCGCCGUAAGACGAACAACUGCGAAAGCAUUUGCCAAGAAUGUUUUCAUUAAUCAAGAACGAAAGUCAGAGGUUCGAAGACGAUUAGAUAC
rnacentral:rRNA from 1 species